UCAUCAUAGCAUGUCUUUUAUAUUUAUGCUUUGUGUAAGUAAAAUGUUCAUAAAUCAUUCUUAUCUUCAAACUAAAAAUGUAUUGUGCUAUGCAAAAUGUCUGUAUGAUUUCAGUUGCCAGAGGUGAGUACCAUUACAGUUGAAAAGUUAGUUUUGUUUAGUUAAAGUUUUGGUUCACAGUUCUGUUUGUUAUUUGGCAAAAUUUACAUGUAUGCAUUGAGUCUUGAUUUCAGCUAGAUUGUGGACUGAAGAAGAUUGCCAGCAGAGGGAUUGGAUACAAAAUACAAAGUAAGUACUGAGUUUCUUACUAAAAGUUUUGAGUUGUAUUCAUCGUGUGUUAAUAUGCUAUGAUUGCUAUGAACAUGACUUUUGUAUUUCAGCGAAGACAACAUAGGUAAGUAAAAUUGUUAUCUGUUUCAUGUUUACUGUUACAGUUCAAUAUUGUGUUUAUAAAUUGUAAGUUGUACAAACACAUUCAAAAGUUUCUGAUCAUGCUUUCGAUUUCAUUUCAGCUUUACUGCUGGACGAGUGUUCUCUACUACUAGACGUGUCAGGUUUACUACCAGGCGAGCAGUGACAACAAGGCGCCUUUGUGGAAACAACACAACAAAAAACUCUACUGCAAGACGAGCAGUGACAGCAAGGCGCCUGAACAUGCAACACAAUACAAAAAAUGCCAAUUUGCAAACCUUGAUGUGGACACCGAGUAGUCAAUACAUACGUGUGGGGUACAGCUGCGACAAAACCGUGGGUCCAUCGCACCGAUAACUUGAACAUUGGCCCGCGUAUGGACAUCAGUGCAACUUUGUGAAUCCAUGUAACUUUGUGAAUCCAUGUAACAUUGCGAAUAUGUGUCGAUCGAAAAAUUUGAACAUUAUGCAAUGAAACGAACUCGGUGUUGCAAGUGGCAAGUGUUGACAGUGUGCAUGUUUAUGUUUAUGCUUUUACAUGAAAAAUAAAGGAGAUUGUUCUCCUACCUUUUUUUUCCUUGUUUUAUUGUGCU